rnacentral:rRNA from 1 species
UACGGAGGGUGCGAGCGUUGUCCGGAAUCAUUGGGCGUAAAGGGCGCGUAGGUGGCCCGGUCAGUCUUUGGUGAAAGCGCGGGGCUCAACCCUGCGUCGGCCAGGGAUACUGCCGCGGCUGGAGCACUGUAGAGGCAGGCGGAAUUCCGGGUGUAGCGGUGGAAUGCGUAGAGAUCCGGAGGAACACCAGUGGCGAAAGCGGCUUUCUGGUCCUUAACUGACGCUGAGGCGCGAAAGCAUGGGGAGCGAACGGG